CCUACGGGAGGCAGCAGUGAGGAAUAUUGGACAAUGGAGGANACUCUGAUCCAGCCAUGCCGCGUGUAGGAAGAAUGCCCUAUGGGUUGUAAACUACUUUUAUACAGGAAGAAACACUGGUAUGUAUACCAGCUUGACGGUACUGUAAGAAUAAGGACCGGCUAACUCCGUGCCAGCAGCCGCGGUAAUACGGAGGGUCCGAGCGUUAUCCGGAAUCAUUGGGUUUAAAGGGUCCGCAGGCGGUCGAUUAAGUCAGAGGUGAAAUCCCAUAGCUCAACUAUGGAACUGCCUUUGAUACUGGUUGACUUGAGUCAUAUGGAAGUAUGAUAGAAUGUGUARUGUMSCGGUGAAAUGCAUARAUAUUACACMGAAUACCGAUUGCGAAGGCAGUCUACUACGUAUGUACUGACGCUGAGGGACGAAAGCGUGGGGAGCGAACAGGAUUAGAUACCCUGGUAGUCCACGCCGUAAACGAUGGAUACUAGUUGUUGGGAUUUAUCUCAGUGACUAAGCGAAAGUGAUAAGUAUCCCACCUGGGGAGUACGGUCGCAAGACUGAAACUCAAAGGAAUUGACGGGG
rnacentral:rRNA from 1 species